AUCCGUACGAUGAGUCAAAAAUAAGACGAAACGCGCGUCUGGGAU
rnacentral:hammerhead_ribozyme from 1 species